ACCACCGGCAGCCAGGAGAGGGGAUGGAACAGAUCCUCCUCUCAGGCCGUAGAAGGAACUGGCCCUGCCCACAACUGGAUCUCAGACUUCUGGCCUCCGGAGCUGUGGGACAGUAAAUUUCUGUUGCUUAAGCCGUCCAGUUUGUGAUACUUGUAACAGCAGCCCUAGUAGGCAAGCACACCUCUGCCCAGAUUACUGCGUGGUCAGGCCACCAGGCCCCACCUCUCACACCUGUGAAAAGGUGACUUCUUUUGAGAAGGAAAGGAGGGAGCUGAGUGUCCCAGAACAGAAUCUUCUGGCUUCUCUAUUCAAGUUUCUAUUCCAGAUUCUCAACAAGUCACGCUCGGCCCUCUCCAGAGCCUGUCCAUGAGUCUCUGCAUUUGGUCGUUCACGUCUUCAUUCAUCCAUUGUCCAUCUGUUUAUUCCUUCAGCAUGUCUUUCUUGCCCACAUCCUGUGUGCAAACUGCUGUUCUAGAUGUUUGGCAACAGUGGGGAACGAGGCAGACAAAAGACCUGUCCUCACGGCACUUUCAUACGGUCAGAGGACAAGACAUUAGUCAAACAGUGCUGAAAUCAGGGUUAGUUCUGACAGUGGUAAGAGCUGCAAUGACAGAAACAGCAAUUAGCUGGGGUCUUGUUGUCCCAGCUAACCAUGACCCUGACCCCCACCUGCUUCCACCAAUGGAAGACAAGCAUGGCUCAGUUAUAGAGAAGCAGCCUCGUAGCGCUGUGAAGGGUCUUGCCGAUCGUGAAAGGCUGUGUGUCUUGCGUCCAGACAGGGAUGUUAGUUUGUGUCUGCCCCAUCCCUACAGCCGGGUAUUUUGGGAGAGGUGCUUUCUAGCCAAGGUGGCAGGGACACAUAACUCCUGCAGUGGCUGGAUUUCCUAGAUAAAGACCAUGAGGUGACAACACCACAGGGUUGUGAGAGACUCGGGUGGUCUUUGCUGGAGGUUGGGGGCCCUAAGUGUAGUUCAGGGCAGUGCAACUCGAAGGGUCACUCCCGGGACCACUAGUGCCGCUGGCCCCAGAUCUACUGAAUUAGGACCUCUGGCGUGGGGACCUCAGGAGUUGCCACAUGCUCCCCAAAGACGAGAAACACUGGUAUCAGGUACAAGCAUGGCAGUCCGGACAAAUGGAGUCCAGCGUGAGAACUGGCUCUCUGCUUUCUGAGGUUUAGUUCCCCUAUCUUAUAAGGGCAUAAAAAUAGCAUAACUUCCGGUACCGACUUCUGAAGUUAUGCAGAGGGUAUUAACUAGUGCAUGUAAGUGCCUGGGACCUGGCACGAGUACAGUAAACAGCAGCUAGUUUUUCUUUCAUUAUGAUGUUGUUCUCCUGUCUGCAUAUGGAGAGCAGGCCUACCUACCCUAGCUUUGGAGCAUUGGGAGUUGGUCAAAAACCUCAGCGUGACCCGAGGAGGCCUCUCUUGAACAGGCUGUCUGGCUGGCCAGGUGCUUUUUGCCACCCAGCAGGACUGGUGAGUCUGCUUAGCUCACUGUCUUGUGACCCUGAGGGCUUAUAGGCAAGAGUUGUCAGGAAUCUGGCCUCGACUUGCUCUAGGAAGUAUGGCCUCAGAUAAGGCUACACACGCAUGCUGUCAUCACGAGACCAGACAGUGCAAAAUCAGUGCCUGGUGCAGGAUCUGAAGAAGGAAGGCUGUGGGCACUGGAGGAAGAGUGGAUGCAGGAGGGCGAGGUGAUAAAUAGUGGGCUUCCCGACCCUAAUCCCACCCCAAGCCCUGCAGAGAUAACCAACAAGGCUCUGGCAUAUUCCAUGGUGUGCUCUCCUGCCACCCCACCCCACCCAGUGAGGCUCACAAAAUGGGGCGAGAAGGCUAACACCCCAGCAAAAGAUAUGCCAGGCCAGGGGCAAAUCAGAGAGAGAGAAAAACCGUCAUCUAUUCCUGUUGACCUUACAUUCAGAUUUCUGCAUUACCUUUCCUGAAAUCAGCUUCAGAAGGUCCUUAUCAAGAUCUGUUACCUCGAAGUUUAUUCUACCAAAACCUUGAAAAGAAGGACACAUCCUUAAUACUACAAUACCUGAGACAGAAGUAUAAGUGUGGGAAUAUUAUUCUGUACUUUGUA